AACCUCCGCAAUGUGAGAAAUCGCGACGGGGGGAUCCCAAGUGCCAUUCUUAGCGGGAUGGCUUUUCUUAAGUGUAAAAAGCUUUUGGAAUAAGAGCUGGGCAAGACCGGUGCCAGCCGCCGCGGUAACACCGGCAGCUCUAGUGGUAGCUGUUUUUAUUGGGCCUAAAGCGUUCGUAGCCGGUUUGAUAAGUCACUGGUGAAAUCCUGUAGCUUAACUGUGGGAAUUGCUGGUGAUACUGUUGAACUUGAGGUCGGGAGAGGUUAGCGGUACUCCCAGGGUAGAGGUGAAAUUCUGUAAUCCUGGGAGGACCACUGUGGCGAAGGCGGCUAACUGGAACGAACCUGACGGUGAGGGACGAAAGCUAGGGGCGCGAACCGGAUUAGAUACCCGGGUAGUCCUAGCCGUAAACGAUGCGGACUUGGUGUUGGGAUGGCUUUGAGCCGCUCCGGUGCCGAAGGGAAGCUGUUAAGUCCGCCGCCUGGGAAGUACGGUCGCAAGACUGAAACUUAAAGGAAUU
rnacentral:rRNA from 1 species